AGAGUUUGAUCCUGGCUCAGGAUGAACGCUAGCGACAGGCUUAACACAUGCAAGUCGAGGGGCAGCGGGGGUAGCAAUACCCGCCGGCGACCGGCGCACGGGUGAGUAACGCGUAUGCAACUUACCUAUCAGAGGGGGAUAACCCGGCGAAAGUCGGACUAAUACCGCAUGAAGCAGGGGCCCCGCAUGGGGAUAUUUGCUAAAGAUUCAUCGCUGAUAGAUAGGCAUGCGUUCCAUUAGGCAGUUGGCGGGGUAACGGCCCACCAAACCGACGAUGGAUAGGGGUUCUGAGAGGAAGGUCCCCCACAUUGGUACUGAGACACGGACCAAACUCCUACGGGAGGCAGCAGUGAGGAAUAUUGGUCAAUGGGCGUAAGCCUGAACCAGCCAAGUCGCGUGAGGGAUGAAGGUUCUAUGGAUCGUAAACCUCUUUUAUAAGGGAAUAAAGUGCGGGACGUGUCCCGUUUUGUAUGUACCUUAUGAAUAAGGAUCGGCUAACUCCGUGCCAGCAGCCGCGGUAAUACGGAGGAUCCGAGCGUUAUCCGGAUUUAUUGGGUUUAAAGGGAGCGUAGAUGGAUGUUUAAGUCAGUUGUGAAAGUUUGCGGCUCAACCGUAAAAUUGCAGUUGAUACUGGAUAUCUUGAGUGCAGUUGAGGCAGGCGGAAUUCGUGGUGUAGCGGUGAAAUGCUUAGAUAUCACGAAGAACUCCGAUUGCGAAGGCAGCUUACUGGAUUGUAACUGACGCUGAUGCUCGAAAGUGUGGGUAUCAAACAGGAUUAGAUACCCUGGUAGUCCACACAGUAAACGAUGAAUACUCGCUGUUUGCGAUAUACAGUAAGCGGCCAAGCGAAAGCGUUAAGUAUUCCACCUGGGGAGUACGCCGGCAACGGUGAAACUCAAAGGAAUUGACGGGGGCCCGCACAAGCGGAGGAACAUGUGGUUUAAUUCGAUGAUACGCGAGGAACCUUACCCGGGCUUAAAUUGCAGAUGAAUUACGGUGAAAGCCGUAAGCCGCAAGGCAUCUGUGAAGGUGCUGCAUGGUUGUCGUCAGCUCGUGCCGUGAGGUGUCGGCUUAAGUGCCAUAACGAGCGCAACCCUUGUUGUCAGUUACUAACAGGUUCCGCUGAGGACUCUGACAAGACUGCCAUCGUAAGAUGUGAGGAAGGUGGGGAUGACGUCAAAUCAGCACGGCCCUUACGUCCGGGGCUACACACGUGUUACAAUGGGGGGUACAGAGGGCCGCUACCACGCGAGUGGAUGCCAAUCCCCAAAACCUCUCUCAGUUCGGACUGGAGUCUGCAACCCGACUCCACGAAGCUGGAUUCGCUAGUAAUCGCGCAUCAGCCACGGCGCGGUGAAUACGUUCCCGGGCCUUGUACACACCGCCCGUCAAGCCAUGGGAGCCGGGGGUACCUGAAGUGCGUAACCGCGAGGAGCGCCCUAGGGUAAAACUGGUGACUGGGGCUAAGUCGUAACAAGGUAGCCGUACCGGAAGGUGCGGCUG
rnacentral:rRNA from 1 species